AACGUACGCUGGCGGCACGCCUAACACAUGCAAGUCGAACGAAGUAGCAAUACUUAGUGGCAGACGGGUGAGUAACAUGUGGGUAUCUGCCCUUUGGCCUGGAAUAACACGAGGAAACUUGUGCUAAUACCGGAUAAGUCUUUACGGAGAAAGCUUUAUGCACCAUUGGAUGAGCCCGCACUUGAUUAGUUUGUUGGUGGGGUAAUGGCCUACCAAGACUGUGAUCAAUAGCUGAUUUGAGAGGAUGAUCAGCCACAUUGGGACUGAGACACGGCCCAAACUCCUACGGGAGGCAGCAGUGGGGAAUCUUGCACAAUGGAGGAAACUCUGAUGCAGCGAUGCCGCGUGAGUGAAGAAGGCCCUUGGGUUGUAAAGCUCUUUCGUCGGGGAAGAAAAUGACUGUACCCGAAUAAGAAGGUCCGGCUAACUUCGUGCCAGCAGCCGCGGUAAUACGAAGGGACCUAGCAUAGUUCGGAAUUACUGGGCUUAAAGAGUUCGUAGGUGGUUGAAAAAGUUAGUGGUGAAAUCCCAGAGCUUAACUCUGGAACUGCCAUUAAAACUUUUCAGCUAGAGUAUGAUAGAGGAAAGCAGAAUUUCUAGUGUAGAGGUGAAAUUCGUAGAUAUUAGAAAGAAUACCAAUUGCGAAGGCAGCUUUCUGGAUCAUUACUGACACUGAGGAACGAAAGCAUGGGUAGCGAAGAGGAUUAGAUACCCUCGUAGUCCAUGCCGUAAACGAUGUGUGUUAGACGUUGGAAAUUUAUUUUCAGUGUCGCAGCGAAAGCGAUAAACACACCGCCUGGGGAGUACGACCGCAAGGUUAAAACUCAAAUGAAUUGACGGGGACCCGCACAAGUAGUGGAGCAUGUGGUUUAAUUCGAAGAUACGCGCAGAACCUUACCAACACUUGACAUGUUCGUCGCGACUCUAAGAGAUUAGAGUUUUCGGUUCGGCCGGACGAAACACAGGUGCUGCAUGGCUGUCGUCAGCUCGUGUCGUGAGAUGUUGGGUUAAGUCCCGCAACGAGCGCAACCCUCACUUUUAGUUGCCAUCAUUAAGUUGGGCACUCUGAAAGAACUGCCAGUGAUAAGCUGGAGGAAGGUGGGGAUGACGUCAAGUCCUCAUGGCCCUUACGUGUUGGGCUACACACGUGCUACAAUGGUAUCUACAACAGGAAGCAAGACUGCGAGGUCAAGCAAAUCCUUAAAAGAUACCUCAGUUCGGAUUGCACUCUGCAACUCGAGUGCAUGAAGCUGGAAUUACUAGUAAUCGUGGAUCAGCGUGCCACGGUGAAUGCGUUCCCGGGUCU
rnacentral:rRNA from 1 species